ACUGCCAGGUGUCUCCUCUCCCGGAGGAGACCGCCUUGUCUCAUCUCCAUUAGUUCUGGGAAUGGUUUUUAAAGGACGCCGUGUUGGGGGUGCUGGGGGAUGCACACGGAUGAGCCCAGCACCGGGAACGUCCUGAAGUUUUUACCCUCCGGAGACAUUGUCACUGUGGUUUCUACAGGCUCGGCUGCCACCUGAUUCCAGAAAUUGCUGAAGCAUUGGUUGAACUUGUUAAGAUAUCAGACCUGCGCUGGAGGCCCAAUACAUAGAGGUGGACAAGAAAACAGCUCACGGAGGGAGUCUAAAGAGAUCUAGUUUAAACAACUGUGAUACAGGGUGCUGAGUGCAGAGAUCAGGAAAAUCCAGUCCUUUAGGUUCAGAGAGAGCCUUCAGCAGGGUAAAAAUGCUUGCCAGGAAAGCCUGAGGAAGAGAAUUCCACCCUGCAAUUCUAAGACAGGAAGAAUGGACUCAUUGUACCUCCACAUGGGCACGUGGCAUAUGUGCAUGCCUUCAUACAAGCACGUCACACACAGAAACACACACACUCAAAUAAUGAAUUAAACUGAAUAUUUUGUUUAAUAACGUGUUGGAUAAAUGACAGAACCCCCUCCAACAAGUAUGGAAGGAAGAAGUUUACAAAAAUAAACUCAUGGGGCAAGUCUUAAAUACUUUGCCAACUUUAGGUACAAGCACUUAUUUGGUUAAGAUAGAGAAUGCACCAUCAAACUAUACCUGUUACAACUGGCAAGUGAAGCAGGAAAAAAAUCCUCGUGGUUACCUCAAGUUCCAUGUUCCAUACAGUGAUAGUUUCAUGAAGUUUUAUAGUAACAGAAUAAAGAAAGACAAAAAUUAA